rnacentral:rRNA from 1 species
GACGAACGCUGGCGGCGUGCCUAAUACAUGCAAGUUGAGCGCUGAAGGUUGGUACUUGUACCAACUGGAUGAGCAGCGAACGGGUGAGUAACGCGUGGGGAAUCUGCCUUUGAGCGGGGGACAACAUUUGGAAACGAAUGCUAAUACCGCAUAAAAACUUUAAACACAAGUUUUAAGUUUGAAAGAUGCAAUUGCAUCACUCAAAGAUGAUCCCGCGUUGUAUUAGCUAGUUGGUGAGGUAAAGGCUCACCAAGGCGAUGAUACAUAGCCGACCUGGGAGGGUGAUCGGCCACAUUGGGACUGAGACACGGCCCAAACUCCUACGGGAGGCAGCAGUAGGGAAUCUUCGGCAAUGGACGAAAGUCUGACCGAGCAACGCCGCGUGAGUGAAGAAGGGUUUCGGAUCGUAAAACUCUGUUGGUAGAGAAGAACGUUGGUGAGAGUGGAAAGCUCAUCAAGUGACGGUAACUACCCAGAAAGGGACGGCUAACUACGUG